CUAGGGUGUAGAAUUAUAGGCAGGGUUUCUCCCUGGGGUGUAGAAUUAUAGGCAGGGUUUCUCCCUGGGGUGUAGAAUUAUAGGCAGGGUUUCUCCCUGGGGUGUAGAAUUAUAGGCAGGGUUUCUCCCUGGGGUGUAGAAUUAUAGGCAGGGUUUCUCCCUGGGGUUUAGAAUUAUAGGCAGGGUUUCUCACUAGGGUUCAGGAUUUAAGGUAGCUAAGACAAGUCUAGAGUUGAAUAUUUAAAGUAGAGUUUCUCCAUAGGGUUAAGAUUUGGGGGAGGGCAAACCUAGGGUUUAGGAUUUAAGGUACCUAGGGUAAGCCUAGAGUAGGGUUUCUCCACAGUGUUUAGGAUUUGGGGGAGGACAAACCUAGGGUUUAGGAUUCAAGGUAGCUAGGGCAAGUUUAGGGUUUAUGAUUUAGAGUUUAUCUGUAGGGUUUAGGAAUAGGGUGAGGGCAUGCUGAUAAAUUUAUUCCCAGAGCAUAUUAAGCUGUGCUACACUAAGUGCUUAAGGUUAACUCUAAAUGUCUAGGAUCAGGUUAAUAUCCUAAUCUCAAUAUAUUUGAUAUUUUGGUAUUUAUUAGAAUCCCCAUUAGCCGCUGCAAAAUAAUCAGCUACACUUCCG
rnacentral:lncRNA from 1 species